rnacentral:rRNA from 1 species
UACGGAAGGCAGCAGUGGGGAAUAUUGCACAAUGGGCGAAAGCCUGAUGCAGCUAUGCCGCGUGUAUGAAGAAGGCCUUAGGGUUGUAAAGUACUUUCAUCGGGGAGGAAAAACAAAACUAAUAAUUUUAUUUCUUGACGUUACCCGAAAAAGAAGCACCGGCUAACUCCGUGCCAGCAGCCGCGGUAAUACGGAGGGUGCUAGCGUUAAUCAGAAUUACUGGGCGUAAAGAGCACGUAGGUGGUUUUUUUAAGUCAGAUGUGAAAUCCCUGGGCUUAACCUAGGAACUGCAUUUUGAAACUGAAAUACUAGAGUAGCGUAGAGGGAGGUAGAAUUCUAGGUGUAGCGGUGAAAUGCGUAGAUAUCUGGAGGAAUACCUGUGGCGAAAGCGGCCUCCUAAACGAAUACUGACACUGAGGUGCGAAAGCGUGGGGAGCAAACAGGGAUUAGAUACC